rnacentral:pre_miRNA from 1 species
UUUUUAGGGUAAGUAUAUCCCAUGAUAUAUUUGGGAUAUACUUAUCCUUUAA